rnacentral:lncRNA from 1 species
AGAAGCAGAUUCUGGGCCAGGGUCCACAUUUCAAACUAUGCCUGGAGGGACUAACACCUUCCUCAGAGCCUGUGUGCAGGGCUGGAAGGUCUGAUGAUUUUAUGGGCUGUCCUGACAGAGAUUAUUGGAGACUCCUUUGGUCUGCUGUUGUGAGUUGAACCAGGGAUGGUGAAAACCAGGGGGCAGAGAAGGGUAACUAGGGGCCUGAGUGUCAGCUCCAAGUCUCUUCUCCCUGGAUGAUUUGUCAGGAGCCUUGAUCUCAGUCUAGUUACAGAAUCUUCUUCACCAUCUGCUAGUUAUAACACUCCUAAACCCCCCCGAGUCUGAUGCAUGAGAGGAGUGGUUGUCUGGGAGGAUUUGGAGGAAGGCACAUGCAUGAAGACGAAUGGCCAUUUAAUUAUACUCAGUGCUGGUGAGCUGGAGCUGAGAAAUUAGCAGUGACUAAGAAAAGUCCAGCAUUAUUGAGGUGAAAUCUUCUGGGAAGUGUUUUCUGAGAGCACACAGAAGCUGUGUUCCAGAGAUGGCCAAAGUUGUAUUUCUCCACCGGCAGCCAAAUUUGGUCAUGUGGAUGAGUCACCCAGGUGACACUGGUUCAUGGAAGAGCAGCUGAGUCUUGGCACUGACAAUACAGCCUCAGUGGCAGCUGAAGGCCCAGGAUUGAAAGGGUCAUGCAGAGCAGUUGAGGCUUGUCCCCAUGAAGAGAGCCCAGGAGAGUACUGGUAUAAGUGCAGCCCAGUCGCAGCAGAAGACCCCAGCAUUUUGGAGAUGCAAGUACCAUGGGAUGACCAUCAAGAACAGCAGCAGCAGUGGAGUGGAGCCAGCCAGAUCCUAAAAGACGAGCUGUUUGUGCUACAGAGGGCUGAACUGCAGAAGUUAACUCAAGCCCCUUAGAGGAGCCCAGAAGAUCUUGAGUGCAUCUCUGAUGUUGAAAGAUGCACUAUUUACACUUUUGGAGUUUGGUUUUGCUUUGCUUUGAUAGCGAUUUUGACCUAUUUCUUCUCUCUUGAAAUAUAAUUUAUUUUUGAUUUUACAGAAGUCCACAAGUUGAGAGACAGAAUUUUAAAAGACUUAAAUUUUAAAAAGAGAUUGAUUAUUUUAAAGAGAGAGAACUUUUAAUGUAUUUGAAUUUGUGAGGAUUGUGGGACCUUUAAGUUGUUAAUGUUUUAUAUUGUGAUAUAAAUAUUAACAUAACAUCUUGGGGAUAAAUGAGAAAAGAAAGGUUCUAAUUAAAAAGUGAUAUGUUGGGCCUUGAGCUCAGCAAUUUAGAGCACUGGCUGCUUAUCCAGAGGUCCUGAGUUCAAGUGCCAGCACCCACAUGGUGGCUAACAGUGUCUGUAACAGUAGUCCCAUUGGGAUUCAAUAUACUCUUCUAGUGUGUAGGAGUACAUGCAGACAAAAACACCCAUAUACAUAAAAUAU